UGGGGAAUUUUGCGCAAUGGGCGAAAGCCUGACGCAGCGACGCCGCGUGGGUGAUGAAGGCCUUCGGGUUGUAAAGCCCUGUGGGGAGGGAAGAAUAAGGGGCGGCUAAUACCCGCACCGAUGACGGUACCUCCUUAGCAAGCACCGGCUAACUCUGUGCCAGCAGCCGCGGUAAGACAGAGGGUGCAAACGUUGUUCGGAAUUACUGGGCGUAAAGCGCGUGUAGGCGGUCUAGCAAGUCGGAUGUGAAAGCCCUUGGCUCAACUGAGGAAGUGAAUUCGAAACUGCGAGAAUUGAGGCCCGGAGAGGAUGGUGGAAUUCUCGGUGUAGAGGUGAAAUUCGUAGAUAUCGAGAGGAAAACCGGUGGCGAAGGCGGCCAUCUGGACGGUGACUGACGCUGAGACGCGAAAGCAUGGGGAGCAAACAG
rnacentral:rRNA from 1 species